rnacentral:tRNA from 1 species
UGCAUCGGCCGGGAAUCGAACCGGGGCCGCCCGCGUGGCAGGCGAGCCUUCUACCACUGAACCACCGAUGC